rnacentral:lncRNA from 1 species
AUGUAUGCACCUGUCCUGCUUGCCCUUCAGAGAGAUCCUGAACAUGCAAUGAGGGAGGUUACAAUGCCAUCUAAACUGUAAAACUGUAGGACAAACACAGGAGGUACUGAUGCCAGCUGGCAGAGAGUUGCCGAGUAACUGUGAAGGCCAAGGAAGAGCCAGUUUGCACAAGAGGCCUCCAAACUUUCCUACUUGUCAGCAAGAGAACUUUGUAAGGAUCAGAAGAGGCUGGAUGAGAG